rnacentral:rRNA from 1 species
ACUUAAAUUGAAGAGUUUGAUCAUGGCUCAGAUUGAACGCUGGCGGCAGGCCUAACACAUGCAAGUCGAACGGUAGCACAGAGAGCUUGCUCUCGGGUGACGAGUGGCGGACGGGUGAGUAAUGUCUGGGAAACUGCCUGAUGGAGGGGGAUAACUACUGGAAACGGUAGCUAAUACCGCAUAACGUCGCAAGACCAAAGAGGGGGACCUUCGGGCCUCUUGCCAUCAGAUGUGCCCAGAUGGGAUUAGCUAGUAGGUGGGGUAAUGGCUCACCUAGGCGACGAUCCCUAGCUGGUCUGAGAGGAUGACCAGCCACACUGGAACUGAGACACGGUCCAGACUCCUACGGGAGGCAGCAGUGGGGAAUAUUGCACAAUGGGCGCAAGCCUGAUGCAGCCAUGCCGCGUGUAUGAAGAAGGCCUUCGGGUUGUAAAGUACUUUCAGCGGGGAGGAAGGUGUUGUGGUUAAUAACCACAGCAAUUGACGUUACCCGCAGAAGAAGCACCGGCUAACUCCGUGCCAGCAGCCGCGGUAAUACGGAGGGUGCAAGCGUUAAUCGGAAUUACUGGGCGUAAAGCGCACGCAGGCGGUCUGUCAAGUCGGAUGUGAAAUCCCCGGGCUCAACCUGGGAACUGCAUUCGAAACUGGCAGGCUAGAGUCUUGUAGAGGGGGGUAGAAUUCCAGGUGUAGCGGUGAAAUGCGUAGAGAUCUGGAGGAAUACCGGUGGCGAAGGCGGCCCCCUGGACAAAGACUGACGCUCAGGUGCGAAAGCGUGGGGAGCAAACAGGAUUAGAUACCCUGGUAGUCCACGCCGUAAACGAUGUCGACUUGGAGGUUGUUCCCUUGAGGAGUGGCUUCCGGAGCUAACGCGUUAAGUCGACCGCCUGGGGAGUACGGCCGCAAGGUUAAAACUCAAAUGAAUUGACGGGGGCCCGCACAAGCGGUGGAGCAUGUGGUUUAAUUCGAUGCAACGCGAAGAACCUUACCUACUCUUGACAUCCAGAGAACUUUCCAGAGAUGGAUUGGUGCCUUCGGGAACUCUGAGACAGGUGCUGCAUGGCUGUCGUCAGCUCGUGUUGUGAAAUGUUGGGUUAAGUCCCGCAACGAGCGCAACCCUUAUCCUUUGUUGCCAGCGGUUAGGCCGGGAACUCAAAGGAGACUGCCAGUGAUAAACUGGAGGAAGGUGGGGAUGACGUCAAGUCAUCAUGGCCCUUACGAGUAGGGCUACACACGUGCUACAAUGGCGCAUACAAAGAGAAGCGACCUCGCGAGAGCAAGCGGACCUCAUAAAGUGCGUCGUAGUCCGGAUUGGAGUCUGCAACUCGACUCCAUGAAGUCGGAAUCGCUAGUAAUCGUAGAUCAGAAUGCUACGGUGAAUACGUUCCCGGGCCUUGUACACACCGCCCGUCACACCAUGGGAGUGGGUUGCAAAAGAAGUAGGUAGCUUAACCUUCGGGAGGGCGCUUACCACUUUGUGAUUCAUGACUGGGGUGAAGUCGUAACAAGGUAACCGUAGGGGAACCUGCGGUUGGAUCACCUCCUUACCUUAAAGAA